UGUCUACUAUCCAGCGAAACCA
rnacentral:snRNA from 1 species